UACGUAGGGGCAAGCGUUGUCCGGAUUAUUGGGCGUAAAGAGCGUGUAGGCGGCCUGAAAGGUCAGCUGUGAAAACUCGAGGCUCAACCUCGAGACGUCGGUUGAAACCAUCUGGCUAGAGUCCGGAAGAGGAGUGUGGAAUUCCCGGUGUAGCGGUGAAAUGCGCAGAUAUCGGGAAGAACACCCGUGGCGAAGGCGGCACUCUGGGACGGUACUGACGCUGAGACGCGAAAGCGUGGGGAGCCGAACAGG
rnacentral:rRNA from 1 species